GGGUUGUGAGGUUAAGCGACUAAGCGUACACGGUGGAUGCCCUGGCAGUCAGAGGCGAUGAAGGACGUGCUAAUCUGCGAAAAGCGUCGGUAAGGUGAUAUGAACCGUUACAGCCGGCGAUGUCCGAAUGGGGAAACCCAGUGUGAUUCGUCACACUAUCGUUAACUGAAUACAUAGGUUAACGAGGCGAACCGGGGGAACUGAAACAUCUAAGUACCCCGAGGAAAAGAAAUCAACCGAGAUUCCCCCAGUAGCGGCGAGCGAACGGGGAGCAGCCCAGAGUCUGAAUCAGCUUGUGUGUUAGUGGAACGGUCUGGAAAGUCCGACGGUACAGGGUGAUAGUCCCGUACACCAAAAUGCACAGGCUGUGAACUCGAAGAGUAGGGCGGGACACGUGGUAUCCUGUCUGAAUAUGGGGGGACCAUCCUCCAAGGCUAAAUACUCCUGACUGACCGAUAGUGAACCAGUACCGUGAGGGAAAGGCGAAAAGAACCCCGGCGAGGGGAGUGAAAAAGAACCUGAAACCGUGUACGUACAAGCAGUGGGAGCACCUUCGGGUGUGACUGCGUACCUUUUGUAUAAUGGGUCAGCGACUUAUAUUCUGUAGCAAGGUUAACCGUAUAGGGGAGCCGCAGGGAAACCGAGUCUUAACUGGGCGUUAAGUUGCAGGGUAUAGACCCGAAACCCGGUGAUCUAGCCAUGGGCAGGUUGAAGGUUGGGUAACACUAACUGGAGGACCGAACCGACUAAUGUUGAAAAAUUAGCGGAUGACUUGUGGCUGGGGGUGAAAGGCCAAUCAAACCGGGAGAUAGCUGGUUCUCCCCGAAAGCUAUUUAGGUAGCGCCUCGUGAACUCAUCUUCGGGGGUAGAGCACUGUUUCGGCUAGGGGGUCAUCCCGACUUACCAACCCGAUGCAAACUACGAAUACCGAAGAAUGUUAUCACGGGAGACACACGGCGGGUGCUAACGUCCGUCGUGAAGAGGGAAACAACCCAGACCGCCAGCUAAGGUCCCAAAGUCACAGUUAAGUGGGAAACGAUGUGGGAAGGCACAGACAGCCAGGAUGUUGGCUUAGAAGCAGCCAUCAUUUAAAGAAAGCGUAAUAGCUCACUGGUCGAGUCGGCCUGCGCGGAAGAUGUAACGGGGCUAAACUGUGCACCGAAGCUGCGGCAGCGACACUAUGUGUUGUUGGGUAGGGGAGCGUUCUGUAAGCCUGCGAAGGUGGCCUGUGAGGGUUGCUGGAGGUAUCAGAAGUGCGAAUGCUGACAUAAGUAACGAUAAUGCGGGUGAAAAGCCCGCACGCCGGAAGACCAAGGGUUCCUGUCCAACGUUAAUCGGGGCAGGGUGAGUCGACCCCUAAGGCGAGGCCGAAAGGCGUAGUCGAUGGGAAACAGGUUAAUAUUCCUGUACUUGGUGUUACUGCGAAGGGGGGACGGAGAAGGCUAUGUUAGCCGGGCGACGGUUGUCCCGGUUUAAGCAUGUAGGCGGAGGUUCCAGGUAAAUCCGGUACCUUUUUAACGCUGAGGUGUGAUGACGAGGCACUACGGUGCUGAAGUAACAAAUGCCCUGCUUCCAGGAAAAGCCUCUAAGCAUCAGGUAACAUUGAAUCGUACCCCAAACCGACACAGGUGGUCAGGUAGAGAAUACCAAGGCGCUUGAGAGAACUCGGGUGAAGGAACUAGGCAAAAUGGUGCCGUAACUUCGGGAGAAGGCACGCUGAUAUGUAGGUGAAGCCCCUGCGGGUGGAGCUGAGAUCAGUCGAAGAUACCAGCUGGCUGCAACUGUUUAUUAAAAACACAGCACUGUGCAAACACGAAAGUGGACGUAUACGGUGUGACGCCUGCCCGGUGCCGGAAGGUUAAUUGAUGGGGUUAUCCGUAAGGAGAAGCUCUUGAUCGAAGCCCCGGUAAACGGCGGCCGUAACUAUAACGGUCCUAAGGUAGCGAAAUUCCUUGUCGGGUAAGUUCCGACCUGCACGAAUGGCGUAAUGAUGGCCAGGCUGUCUCCACCCGAGACUCAGUGAAAUUGAACUCGCUGUGAAGAUGCAGUGUACCCGCGGCAAGACGGAAAGACCCCGUGAACCUUUACUAUAGCUUGACACUGAACAUUGAGCCUUGAUGUGUAGGAUAGGUGGGAGGCUUUGAAGCGUGGACGCCAGUCUGCGUGGAGCCAACCUUGAAAUACCACCCUUUAAUGUUUGAUGUUCUAACGUGGACCCGUAAUC
rnacentral:rRNA from 1 species